rnacentral:rRNA from 1 species
UACGUAGGGUGCUAGCGUUGUCCGGAUUUAUUGGGCGUAAAGGGCUCGUAGGCGGCGUGUCGCGUCGGGAGUGAAAGCCCGCUGCUUAACGGCGGGUUGGCUUCCGGUACGGGCAUCGCUGGAGUGCGGCAGGGGAGACUGGAAUUCCCGGUGUAGAGGUGAAAUUCGUAGAUAUCGGGAGGAACACCAGUGGCGAAGGCGGCGACCUGGGCCAAUAUUGACGCUGAGGUGCGAAAGCUAGGGGAGCAAACAGG